GGUCAGGCCAGAAGGGCUGCCAGCAACACCAGCUUAUCAACACCUUUGAUAUUCCCAGGGGUUGGAGUUCAUCCCUAGAAGGUCUCACAGGUGUUACUCCUCCUUAUAUCCUUGAAGCAACUUGGCCACCGAGAAUUGCUGGGUAUGAUUUACAAAGCUCAGAUUUGGGUAUUUGGCAGGCUCCUUCUUCCUCAGCAGGGAGAAGCCAAAUCCCCUUUGCUGAGGGUGCAAUUUAAAUCACAGUCAAGUUCACUUGGUGGCCACAAGUCAUGGAAGGGGUGGCUGGGGUGGUGAGUUCAUGCAGGGCCAUCGGGUCUAGGAGAAAAACGGCAAGGGAGAAAACAAAGGUGAAGGUUUUUUUUUCCUCUAAUUAAUUCCCUAAACCAGUUCAGUGGGGUUCAAGCAAGUACUAGAAAGCUUUCCCCUUUUGGCAUGAGCUCGAUCAGCUGAACGGCAACAUGUGACCACAAUCCAAGGCAACCUUUGUUUGCAAGACCAAGAGUGGAUCUUUUUGAUUUAUAUUUUUUUUCUUUCCCACAGCAAGCUUUUAGGUCUGCAGCAGCCCUUCUCCAUGGGAACAGGAGAUCCACUGUUUACUGGCUGGGAAAUUUUAGCCCUGACUAAGUUAGAGCUGAAAUCCAGACGUUGGUAGCAAGGCUCACAUCUUCCUCCGAGACACCAUGCCCAGAGGCCAUGCUCAGUGUGGGAUCACAGCCUGGCAAUGGAGCCCUGCACAACACAGGGGAAGGCUCUGCAGCCUGCAAAAAGGAGCAGGCAUACCCAGUAGCUCUGCCUAUCUGUAAUCUUCCUCUCAAGGUACUUUUAUAUCCUCCUGUUAUUUUAAAAGCUAGCACACACCGGUUUAGCUUUGAUGCUAUGCAUUCUUAGUAUCAACCAGAAAACUCUUUCUUCUUGCAGUAAAACCCCCCUUUUUCCCUCGGGGGUACAGCUGGUAGGGCAGAAUAGACUCAGCAUUUAGCAUUUAAUUGUAAGCAUGAGUAUCAGCUUGAAUCAUCCUGGCUUGCGGGGCCCAAGAGCAAUCCCAGUGGCUGUGAACACCGUCAGAUGGCUGCUGCAGGGGUAUUUAGUUCAGCAUUCAUGGAGGAGGAAAUCAGCAGCUUACAUCACAGCACAGGCUGACCAGUUUGUGGUCAACUGAAUCAAUAACCAAAAGCCCAGUGCAAUGCAGUCAUGUCGGAAAUCUGGUCUGGAUGCUGGGGCUCAGCAGCACCAAAGGGCAGCAGUCAGAAGCAAGUCAAAACUCA
ensembl:lncRNA